CUAUUGGGAAGUAGCUGUGUUACAGAAGCAGCCCCGUUCCGGCAGGUUAGCUUGAUAUGCUGGGUUGCCCUGGUGGGACUGCCGUCCUGCUAGAGCAGCUGUAGCACAUGCAGGCUCGAACCUGCUUCAGCACCUUGGGAUGAUGUACCCGUUGUAGCAAUAUUUCUGGACCCUGAAUGUGGUUGAUGCCAAUGUGGCAGGAGGAAUGUAAAUGGACUGUUAAAAGGAGUAACAAGGAACCUUGAAUCGGGAGUUACCUGUUACAAACUGGAGCUACAAAAGAAGGGGCUGUCUGCCUUGUCAGCAAAACCUGGAAGAACCGCCCCACAACCAGGUGUUCUUGGGAAGCGUCUGCCCUAGGGGCAAGCUUUUCAUCACACUGUUGGGUAUGGAGAAUUUCAAUGYGGCAGUGCUAAAUUCCUACAAACUAGCCGGCUUGUCUGCAGCAAAGACCUUCCAGUGGAUGUUCGCUCUUGCCUGUAGAGCCUUUCUGCAAUGUAAAUCCUGCUGCCACAGCCGUUAAGGACUAGAGGGCCUUAACACCUAAGCUAAGCAGCUGAGAGCUGCAGGGGUGGGCAGCCCCGUGGAACGAGGAUUCUCUUGCUGCUUCUGUUCUCUCUCGCUCUUGGGAGUGCUGGUCUGCAGGAAUCACACAGAGCCUUUGCUUUGCUUUUGGUGCCUCCGUUGGUGGCUCGGAAGGUUGUCAUUGGUUUCUGCAGCUUAACCAACACCUUGAGAAAGGGCUGACAAUGGCACUCGUGGAGGUGUGCAGAUAUCAGCAGGCACCAGCAGUCCUUGCACAAGUUCACUGCACAGAUCACACACAACUCUGGUGCUUUGUCAUGAAGUUGGCACAAUUUGGCACCAGAUUUGGUUUCAACUUUCUGAUGAUGAUCGAAGAAGAUGAAGAUUUGUAUCAAAGAUCAGUCAUACUCUGGAAUGUAACUCUGAGCAGGGCUGGAGCAGCCAUUCGACAGGGCCUUGUGAGUAUUACUUYUGCUAUCCGAGAUAAAUAUCUCGGAUAUUGUCACCCAGCCUCGCUUGCCAGCCUCCAUCCGGUGGAUGGCA